rnacentral:rRNA from 1 species
GAAAGUNUGACGCAGCGACGCCGCGUGGAGGAUGAAGGUUUUCGGAUCGUAAACUCCUGUCNAGAGGGANGAAACNUAUUAAGAAUAAUACUNUUAGUAAUUGACGGUACCUNUAGAGGAAGCACCGGCUAAUUCAGUGCCAGCAGCCGCGGUAAUACNGAAGGNGCAAGCGUUAAUCGGAAUCACUGGGCGUAAAGCGNUCGUAGGUGGCUUUGUAAGUCAGAUGUGAAAGCCCACGGCUCAACCGNGGAAUNNCAUUUGAUANUGCAUCGNUAGAGUNUAGGAGAGGGAAGUGGAAUUUNUGGUGUAGGAGUGAAAUCCGUAGAGAUCAGAAGGAACACCGGUGGNGAAGGNGANUUCCUGGACUAUUACUGACANUGAGGAGCGAAAGCGUGGGGAGCAANCAGGAUUAGAUACCCUGGUAGUCC